rnacentral:rRNA from 1 species
UACGUAGGGUGCAAGCGUUGUCCGGAAUUAUUGGGCGUAAAGAGCUCGUAGGCGGUUUGUUGCGUCGGCUGUGAAAUCCCGAGGCUCAACCUCGGGUCUGCAGUCGAUACGAGCAAACUAGAGUGUUGCAGGGGAGACUGGAAUUCCUGGUGUAGCGGUGAAAUGCGUAGAUAUCGGGAGGAACACCAGUGGCGAAGGCGAGUCUCUGGGAUGAUGCUGACGCUGAGGCGCGAAAGCCAGGGGAGCAAACGGG